GGUGGUAAUGCCGGAUGCUCCAUCAUACCGCAUGGUGUGUUGGGAAAGCCUUUGCGGCAUGGGAUGGGGUCGCGUCCUAUCAGCUUGAUGGCGGGGUAACGGCCCACCAUGGCUUCGACGGGUAGCCGGCCUGAGAGGGCGACCGGCCACAUUGGGACUGAGAUACGGCCCAGACUCCUACGGGAGGCAGCAGUGGGGAAUAUUGCACAAUGGGCGCAAGCCUGAUGCAGCGACGCCGCGUGAGGGAUGGAGGCCUUCGGGUUGUAAACCUCUUUUGUUAGGGAGCAAGGCAUUUUGUGUUGAGUGUACCUUUCGAAUAAGCACCGGCUAACUACGUGCCAGCAGCCGCGGUAAUACGUAGGGUGCAAGCGUUAUCCGGAAUUAUUGGGCGUAAAGGGCUCGUAGGCGGUUCGUCGCGUCCGGUGUGAAAGUCCAUCGCUUAACGGUGGAUCCGCGCCGGGUACGGGCGGGCUUGAGUGCGGUAGGGGAGACUGGAAUUCCCGGUGUAACGGUGGAAUGUGUAGAUAU
rnacentral:rRNA from 1 species